AACGAGCGCUGGCGGCAUGCCUAACACAUGCAAGUCGAACGAGAUCUUCGGGUCUAGUGGCGCACGGGUGCGUAACGCGUGGGAAUCUGCCCUUUGGUUCGGAAUAACAGUUGGACACGACUGCUAAUACCGGAUGAUGACGAAAGUCCAAAGAUUUAUCGCCAGAGGAUGAGCCCGCGUAGGAUUAGCUAGUUGGUGUGGUAAAGGCGCACCAAGGCGACGAUCCUUAGCUGGUCUGAGAGGAUGAUCAGCCACACUGGGACUGAGACACGGCCCAGACUCCUACGGGAGGCAGCAGUGGGGAAUAUUGGACAAUGGGCGAAAGCCUGAUCCAGCAAUGCCGCGUGAGUGAUGAAGGCCUUAGGGUUGUAAAGCUCUUUUACCCGGGAUGAUAAUGACAGUACCGGGAGAAUAAGCUCCGGCUAACUUCGUGCCAGCAGCCGCGGUAA
rnacentral:rRNA from 1 species